AGACUGCCACUCUACCCGUUUUCUUGUUCCCUUGAGAUGGUCAGGGGAUGUGAACCUUCCACUUCACAGGGGCUGCCAGCCUUGGUGACCCCAGGAUGGGGGCCAGCUCUGUCAGGCUUCUGGAGGCAAGACUGGGUGCCUGGACUGUGCUGGGGAUUGAAGGAGCAGGUACAUCCCCUUCCUCCCCUGGGCCAUCAACUCCUUCAUCCGCCUGGGACCUGCUGCCAGCCUCAUCCACCACGUGUCUUUGUUGCCCUGGGUGGUGGCAGGGAAUGAGGGUGCCAUCCUUUGAGUGUGAGCUUCUGGAGCUCUUACACUCAAAGCAUCAGAGGUGAAAGUGGCAGGAGAGUGCCCAGCCAGGAACCAUGGGCCAGGAAGCAGCCCAUCCUCGGAGGUGGCAGGUCACUGGCCUGUCAAAGCCUCCAUUCCCUUAUCUGCAAAAUGAGAGAAGUAACGCCCCUGGAUGGGGUAUCGCAGGGAGAAAAUGACAUCACUCUGGCAAGGGCUGGCAAAUAAUAUCAAUACCAAUAACAAGCUACUGUUUAUUGAGCACUGACUAUAGACCAAAUGCUGUCUAAACACUUACAUAUAUCAGCUUAUUUAAUCCCCAUAGCAACCCUAGGGGUGGGUACUGUCAUUGUCCCCAUUCUAUAGAUGAGGAGACAGAGACACAGAAAGGCAAUCAUUUGCUCAAGAUCCCACAGGAUUUGAAGUGGGAUUCAAACUCUGGUGGUUUGGCUUCAGCAUCUACACUCUCAUUUAGUACCUUCUUUAAAAUGUUAGUUCCUCCCCCAAACUCCAGCCCCACACACACGCAGUCUGCCCAGGCAAAUAGAGCCAUUAGCUAUAGGUGUGAGCACUCCAGUUAAAAAUUCCAGGGAUUAAAGCAUCUACACUGGCAAGGAUAGAAGUGUCUACACUGCAAGGAGGAUUUUUCCUCUAGUGCUGGAGAGAAAUGUGCACGUAACACCACCAAAGGAGAUGCAACCAGGUUAUUGGGGUUAUAAAUGUCCCCUAAGCUGAGCUUCUGCCUCUACUUCCCUUUUGUUUCUUCAACACUCCCCACAAGAGGCUGUGUACACAGUGGGAGCCUGGCUGAUGCUGGCUAACU
rnacentral:lncRNA from 1 species